rnacentral:rRNA from 1 species
AUUGAACGCUGGCGGCAGGCCUAACACAUGCAAGUCGAACGCGCGGCGGACGGGUGAGGAAGGUCUGGGAAACUGCCUGAUGGAGGGGGAUCACUACUGUAAACGGUAGCUAUUACCGCUUACCAUCAGAUGUGCCAAGUUGGGAUUAGCUAGUAGGUAGGGUAAUGGCUAACAUAGGCAACAUUCCCUAGUGGGUCUGAGAGGAUGACCAGCCACACUGGAACUGAGACACGGUCCAGACUCCUACGGGAGGCAGCAGUGGGGAAUAUUGCACAAUGGGCGCAAGCCUGAUGCAGCCAGGCCGCGUGAGUGAAGAAGGCCUUCGGAUUGCAAAGUACUUUCAGCUGGGAGGCGUUACCCGCAGAGGACGCACCGGCUAACUCCGUGCCAGCAGCCGCGGUAAUAC